rnacentral:rRNA from 1 species
AUUCGCGGCCUAUCAGCUUGUUGGUGAGGUAAUGGCUCACCAAGGCGUCGACGGGUAGCCGGCCUGAGAGGGUGACCGGCCACACUGGGACUGAGACACGGCCCAGACUCCUACGGGAGGCAGCAGUGGGGAAUAUUGCACAAUGGGCGCAAGCCUGAUGCAGCAACGCCGCGUGAGGGAUGACGGCCUUCGGGUUGUAAACCUCUUUUAGCAGGGAAGAAGCGAAAGUGACGGUACCUGCAGAAAAAGCGCCGGCUAACUACGUGCCAGCAGCCGCGGUAAUACGUAGGGCGCAAGCGUUAUCCGGAAUUAUUGGGCGUAAAGAGCUCGUAGGCGGUUUGUCGCGUCUGCUGUGAAAUCCCGAGGCUCAACCUCGGGUCUGCAGUGGGUACGGGCAGACUAGAGUGCGGUAGGGGAGAUUGGAAUUCCUGGUGUAGCGGUGGAAUGCGCAGAUAUCAGGAGGAACACCGAUGGCGAAGGCAGAUCUCUGGGCCGUGACUGGCGCUGAGGAGCGAAAGGGUGGGGAGCAAACAGGCUUAGAUACCCUGGUAGUCCACCCCGUAAACGUUGGGAACUAGUUGUGGGGUCCAUUCCACGGAUUCCGUGACGCAGCUAACGCAUUAAGUUCCCCGC